rnacentral:rRNA from 1 species
GAUGAACGCUAGCGGGAGGCCUAACACAUGCAAGCCGAGCGGUAUUGUUUCUUCGGAAAUGAGAGAGCGGCGUACGGGUGCGGAACACGUGUGCAACCUGCCUUUAUCUGGGGGAUAGCCUUUCGAAAGGAAGAUUAAUACUCCAUAAUAUAUUGAUUGGCAUCAAUUAAUAUUGAAAGCUCCGGCGGAUAGAGAUGGGCACGCGCAAGAUUAGCUAGUUGGUGAGGUAACGGCUCACCAAGGCGAUGAUCUUUAGGGGGCCUGAGAGGGUGAUCCCCCACACUGGUACUGAGACACGGACCAGACUCCUACGGGAGGCAGCAGUGGGGAAUUUUGGACAAUGGGGGAAACCCUGAUCCAGCAAUGCCGCGUGAGUGAAGAAGGCCUUCGGUUGUAAAGCUCUUUUGUUCAGGGAAGAAACAACCGGCUCUUAACACAAGUCCGGGAAAGUGACGGUACCUGAAGGAAUAAGCAACCGGCUAACUCCGUGCCAGCAG